UUAGGAUUUGGUUUAGGAUUUAAGAUUUGGUAAGGAUUUGAUCAAGAUUUGAUUUAGGAUUUAGGAUUUUAUUUGAGUUUUUUUAAGAUUUAAGAUUUAGUUAGUUUUUGGCCUAAAGUUUGAAUGAAGUAAGAUUUCAACUAGGAUUAAAUUAAGAUUGAAUUGAGAUAUAUUUGAGAUAUGUUUGUAAUUAUUCUAAUAUUUUUUUAAUAUUUCUUAUUAUUUCUUUGGAAUUCUUUUGAGGUUUCUCUGAAUUUGAUUAAAGCUUAUUUAGCAUUGUUA
rnacentral:lncRNA from 1 species